GCUUGCAGAAGGAGCAGGACUGAAAGGAACCUUCCUCCUUCCGGAUGUGCCUGGGGAUGUAGAAGGAGUUGCACUGGCCGUAACAGAAGCGGUUGAUGAUGGUACGACUGUUGCAGCCUUCCUCGUGGAUGGUCUGCUUAAGCGGCUGGGUUUUGCACCAGUCUCGCUUCAGCAGGAUGAAUUAACCUCUCUGCCCAGAGGACUUCAUUCCUCCAGAAAUGUCCCAGUCUUUUCUCCCCAGCUAGCCUGAGGCUUCCUGAGCUGUGAAUGCUUCUGAGACUUUGCAUUUUUAUCCUAUGUGGAAGGAGAGAUUCAUGGAGACCAGAAAGCAUUUGACAGAGGGAAAACAACAAAACAGGAAAGAGAGAAGUAAACACCAACUUCAAGAAUGUCACAAUCGAGAUCUCAGCUUCUCACAGAACAGCAAUGCUCUGAGGCACACUAGCUGCCCCACAUGAGUGACAGUAAGCAGGGUAAGAACUAUAAUUCCUAGUGGAACCAGGGCUCUGCCACAUCCUUGUCAAUCACCCAAGCUCUCCCCACCCCCAGACUGCUCUUGAUUCUUCAGUGAAGGAAAUAGGAAUGAUACGCACUUGAAAUCCCAAUUGUAUUGUCACCAAAUAAUGUGCACUUUGUAAAUAUCAGAGAUGGAGAGGAAAUGCAGAAGAUGUACAUUUCUUGAAGACAAUUCUUUUCCACAGCAACAUGUAGAAGGGUGUCCCAUAGUAAAAAUUCAAUCCAUAGCUCAUCCAGACUUAGGUUCCUAUGACAUCAUCCAUGCCCUGUCAUUAGCUGCAAACGCUUUAUGGUAAUUUCUACUACUUAUGAAAUGGCCUAUUCACAUCAUUAAAUUAAAUUAAGCUGCAUCUCAUAGGCUCAGUGUGCAUCAAGAUACCUAACAUCUCUGCUGAUUCUUUUUUGCAGACAGUAUAUCUUCGUUUCAAACUCAGCCUCGGUUUCGCAUCAAUGCAAAAAAAUGUGAUGUUAUUCUCAUCAUGAGUUUUCUUUGCAACUGUCCUCCACCAGCAAGUCUCACCUCCUCUCCCCUUUUUAUUAUCUUUGCCUCUAUCCUCUCUUUCAUUUCACUUGUCCCAGAGGACACAUACUCUCAAAGCAGGUCCUCUCUAUAGCAUGCUUUCCUUCCAGUUUCCCUUAGGGAUGAAGAGUAAACAUCUACAAGCAAGAUAAGCCAUAUUAACCACCUCUAUCCUGUGCAGGUCAUGGCAAUGUAUUCCAAUUUUCACAAAGCCUCUAGGAACACAAUAUUCUAAUUCUGAGGGACUGAGAAAUAAAAAUGGUAUAUGUA